rnacentral:rRNA from 1 species
AUGGCGGCGACAUCAACCACAGCCACGGUCACACCGCUGUUAAUCCACCUACUGCGCGGCGCCACCGACCACGCGUCUGUAGCCGCCACCCACGCAAAGCUGCUCAAGGUCGGCACCGCCUCCGCCGUCUCUUCUUGCAACCACAUCAUCGCUGCUUACUGUCGAUGCGGCGUCACUGCCCGCGCCCACGACCUGUUCGAUGGAAUGCCCGAGCGGGACGUCAUCUCCUGGACAGCCCUCAUGUCUGGGUACUCUAGCACCGGCCGACCCCGCCUGGCUGUUUCCCUCCUCCGUGACAUGUCUCACAGCGGCGUGCCACCGAAUGCCUUCACCUUCUCGACUGCCGUCAGCGCAUGCGCACGCCUUGCUGAUGCUGGACUUGGGCGGAAAGUGCAUGCCCGUGCUGAGGUCGAGGGCUACGCAUCUGAUGCUGUUGUUGCCACCGCGCUCGUUGACAUGUAUGGCAAGGCCGGAGAUGUGGAGGCUGCACGUGCAGUGUUUGAUGGUAUGGCUGCUCCGGCGAGGAAUGCGGUUUCAUGGGGCUCGAUGCUGUCUGUAUAUGCGCAGAAUGCGCUUGGGCGUGAGGCCAUCCAACUUUUCGCUGAGUUCAGAACCAAAGGUAAUUUCAUGGCGCCCAACCACUUCAUGCUGUCAAGCGUUGUGAAUGCGUGUGCAGGCGUUGGGCGGCUUGGAGUUGGCAAGUCUGUGCAUGGAACUGCCCUUCGGUUUGGGCAUGGAUGUAAUGGCGUGAUUGUUGUGGCCUUGGUUGACAUGUACUCCAAGUGUGGAUUCUAUGAGUACUCAAGAAAGUUGUUUGACAGGAUUGAGCAUCCAUCGGUCAUCUGCUAUACCUCCAUCAUUGUGGCAGCAGCAAAGUAUGGUCUUGGGAGAUGCGCACUCACUUUUUUCAAUGAGAUGAUCGAUCGGGAUGUGCAACCGAACAGUGUUACACUGCUUGGCGUCAUGCAUGCUUGCAGCCAUUCAGGUCUUGUUGACACUGGCCUCCAUCUCCUCCACUCCAUGCAGAGCAAAUAUGACAUCCAUCCAUGCGCCAGCCACUAUACUUGUGCGGUUGACAUGCUUGGCCGGGCAGGACGGCUCGAGGAGGCAUUUGAGCUGGCCAACGAAGCGCAAGUUGAAGGCCGUGAUGCCCUCAUGCUGUGGAGCUCAUUGCUGUCCGCUUGCCGGACACAUAGGCGCUUAGAUCUAGCCACCAGGGCUGCCCACAGAGUGUCAGAGUUCAACCAAGAUGUAGCAGGUGCACUGGUAGUGAUGUCAAACGCAUACACUUCAGCCGGCCAGACUGACAAUGCUGCUGCUGUAUGGUCGAACAUGAGGCGACGAGGCAUACAGAAAGAUCCUGGGUGCAGCUGGAUUGAGAUAAAGGACAUACCCUACGUGUUCUACGCUGGAUUGGUAUCACCCUCCGGUGCAAGGGCAGGUGAAGUGAUGAUGUUGCUUGAUGAGUUAGAGGGUAAGAUGCGGGAGAAGGGUUACAAGGGUGGACUAGGUAGUAGCAGAGUCUUUGAUGCUCAUGAGGAGGAUGGAGAGGACGGGAAAGGCGAGAUGGUUGGAGUGCACAGUGAGUUAUUGGCUUUGGGGUUUGGUUUGCUGGUUAUCCCCAAGGGGAUGACCAUCAGGGUGAUGAAGAACCUGAGGAUGUGCUGUGACUGUCAUGACGCGUUCAAGCUCAUAAGUGACAUUAUGGAGCGCGAGUUCGUUGUGAGGGAUCUGAAUAGAUUCCAUCACUUCAAGAUGGGGUCAUGUUCUUGCAAUGACUACUGGUGA